UUGAUUUUCCUUUUUGUUUUCUUUUUUUUUUAAUUUUUAUUUCCACAUGUAUUUUUAUUUCAUUUUUUGUUUAGAUUUUUUGUCCACAUGUAAAAAAUGAGCCAAGUGGAGAAUUCCGGCUGCCACCUCGUCGAUUCCGACUACCACAGUGGCAUUUCCGGCGCCGGCGUAAGAAAAAACCGGUCGCCGGAUAAAUUCCAGACAAAAACUAAAUGUUAGGUAUUUAAAAGAAGAAAAAUAAAAAAAGGUGCAAAAACCAAUUCCGUGUAAACGUUAGGGAUUUACAGGCAAUUACCCC
rnacentral:lncRNA from 1 species